UACAAAACUAUAAGUAAACAUAAGUGGAAUAUAAAUAAUUUAGAUAUCUAACACGCCUUGAAAAGCCUUAGAUAAGUUUGAAAAUUGAUAUGGAUCAAGCAAGAUGAGAUAAUUUGUAGAUUAAAUCAUUAUGUUUGAAUCGACAUGUAUAUGGUGAAAGCGUGAACUUAUAAGGGUGCCUGGUUCUUCUCUCAGGAGCAUAGAUUAAUGCUCUCAAGAAUUUUAAGACAGUGAAUCUGUUUAUUGAAUAUUGUGAUUGUAAAUUAGAUCUGACUUUUGACAUUGACCUCCCGUCGUGUAUACGCAUGUCUCGCACCAGGAGCAUCGGAUGAAGAAAUGUGCGUAUGGUUGGACCAUUUGAACGCUAGAGGCGGUAUUUUGUGGGAAGUACUUUUGGCUGAAUUUAUCUCAUACUUACAAUUCAUUCAGGUCUGUUCCAGCUGUAAGGUCAUCAGAAUUUAUUUGUCUCCAAUAGUUGUUUGUUUUUUCAACAAUGAAUUCUACCAGUUUUUCAGAUACAAACAACUGGAAGUAUUGCAGAAAUCCCCAGGAUCUUAUUUGUUUGAAUACCCGAUUGUUUUAUAAAAUCAUGAAUUAUUGGCCUAAAUUUUUUCGAAGUUCAUGUAAUAUCUGACUGAUUGGUACUUCGUACGUUAACAUUAUCAAUUUCUUCAGAUUCUGAUGUACUCAGUACAUUUAAUAGCCGUUUUCUUCGAUUUACUGUAUUUAUAUAUGAUUCAUUUUCAUCACAACUUUUCGAAGCAGUCUCGUUCACCGGUUGCCGCUUUUUUAGAUUUUUAUACUUAAUUUUAAAGAGUGCUAAAACCUACAUCACUUACUAAUAUUUGAAAUGGAUAGGUGGAAUUAAAGAUCCUCUGGACGUAACAACUUAAUAACCUGAUUCACUUAUUUUUCUGAACUUCUUAUGCGCUAGUUUAAUGCAAUUAAGAUAUCUAUUCGCGUAUCCUUACUGUCACUAGCCAAUACGACGCGUUUAGUGAAUACAGGCUAUAUCCGGCGUAAGUCGAUGUGAAGUAUUUUGUUAAUGCCGGAUAUAACCGGCGUUAGGCGUGAAAGGGUUAAAAAUAAAGAAUUUUGAAAUGUUACGUGGAA